rnacentral:rRNA from 1 species
CCAGACUCCUACGGGAGGCAGCAGUCGGGAAUAUUGCGCAAUGGAGGAAACUCUGACGCAGUGACGCCGCGUGCAGGAAGAAGGUUUUCGGAUUGUAAACUGCUUUAGACAGGGAAGAAACAAGACAGUACCUGUAGAAUAAGCUCCGGCUAACUACGUGCCAGCAGCCGCGGUAAUACGUAGGGAGCAAGCGUUAUCCGGAUUUAUUGGGUGUAAAGGGUGCGUAGACGGAGAAGCAAGUUAGUUGUGAAAUCCCUCGGCUUAACUGAGGAACUGCAACUAAAACUACUUCCCUUGAGUGCUGGAGAGGAAAGUGGAAUUCCUAGUGUAGCGGUGAAAUGCGUAGAUAUUAGGAGGAACACCAGUGGCGAAGGCGACUUUCUGGACAGUAACUGACGUUGAGGCACGAAAGUGUGGGGAGCAAACAGGAUUAGAUACCCCAGUAA